rnacentral:rRNA from 1 species
UACAGAGGGUGCGAGCGUUGUCCGGAUUUACUGGGCGUAAAGAGCGCGCAGGCGGUCGGAUAAGUCGAAUGUGAAAGCCCCCGGCUCAACUGGGGAGGGUCAUUCGAUACUGUUCGACUCGAAGGCAGGAGAGGGAAGUGGAAUUCCCGGUGUAGUGGUGAAAUGCGUAGAUAUCGGGAGGAACACCAGUGGCGAAGGCGACUUCCUGGCCUGUUCUUGACGCUGAGGCGCGAAAGCGUGGGUAGCAAACAGG